GGUUGUGGCUGUGGCUGUGGUGUAGGCCAGUGGCUACAGCCUCGAUUUGACCCUUGGCCUGGGAACCUCCAUAUGACACUGGAGCCGCCCAAGAAAUGGCAAAAAGACAAAAAAAAAANACUGAAGUAGAGUUGAUUUACGAUGUUGUGUUAGUUUCAGGCGUACAGCAAAGUGACUCGUGUAUUUGUGUGUGUGUGUGUGUGUGUACACGUAUCUCUGAUGUGUAUGUAUAUACACACACAUCCUUUUUCAUACUCCUUUCCAGGGUGGUUUGUCACAGGAUGCUGAAUGUAGUUCGCUGUAGGGCAGGAGCCUGUUGUUUGUCCAUCCUGCAUACGUCUGCCUCUGCAAGACCCAAGCUCACUCCCAGUCCUUCCCUGCCCCACCCGCCUCCCCUUCGGCAGCCACAAGUCUGUUCCCUCUGUCCCAGAGUCUGCUUCUGCCUCGUAGACACGUUCGUUUGUGUUGAGUGUUUGUGAAGUUUCGUUAGAGUUGCUUUACGCGGGUGUGAUCAUGUCCGCUCUGCAACAACGUGAUUCAGGGACCCCUGUACCCACAGCCUUUCUCUCCCAGAUUCUCUUCCCACACAGAGGAUCCCAGAAUAUCGGGUAGAGGUCUCUGGGCUGCACGGCAGGUCCCCACUGGCCAGGACAACUCAGCGUACAGAUGCCAGUCCCAAACCCCAGGCUAUCUCUCCUCCCCCACAACUGUCCGCUUUGGUAACCGUACGCUUGUUUUCGAAGUCUGCCUGUCUGUUUCUGUUCUGCAGAUCAGUUUGUGCCACAUUUGAGACGCCACGUAUAAAUGAUAUCAUGUGACAUUUGUCUUCCACUGUCUGACUGACCUCACUUAGCAGGAGCAUCUCUAGGUCCGUCCCUGUUGCUGCAAACGGCAUCAUUUCACUCUUUUUACGGCUAACACUCCAUCGUGUAUAUGGACUACGUCUUCUUGAUCCAGUCCUCUGUUGAUGGACGUUUGGGGUGCUUCCAUGUCUCAGCUGUUCUGCAUAGAGCUGCAGUGAAUACUAGGGCGCACGUAUCUUUGUGAAUUACUGGUUCCUCCAGAGAGAGGCCCAGGCGUGGGAUUGCUGGUGGCAGUUCUGGUUUUAGUUUUUGCGUCCCCUCCGUACUGUUCCCCACAGUGGCAGCACCAGGUGACCUUCCCACCAGCAGUGUAGGUAGGUGGUUUUGUGAUCCCUGGCCUGGAGGACGAGAGUCCAGAGGGAAAGAGAAACUUUCCAUCCCCUCUUCCCUUCCGUGCAGUUCACGGGAUCCACAAACAACGCCUCCGGGAGAGGAACUGUUUUUAUCCUCAACACACUGAGUUGGAACCGCUAUUAAGAAAACUGCACAAGAACCCAGCUGGGAAGUGAAAGAGCCAAAACGCACUCCCACGCCGCGUUACUCCACAGCCUGCUCACUGCCACGUGUUACUACCCCACGGCUACGGGCGAGGGCUCGCUGCCUGGGGGGCACGGCAGCCAGCACCGCAGGCCCAGCUUUUGAGGAAAGAGGAGGCUUUGUUGCCAGGCCCAUGGCCAGGAAACAGGAGGCAGGGCUUCCAUCUGUCUUUCCCGUCCAGGGUUCAGGGUAAAAUUUAAGGGGUUCAGGGGACUUCAGACGUGGAAGCCAAUGGGCUCGUCUCAGUCCGUAGAAGCUGCUGGACGCCAGACUUUCCUCAUUGAAGGACGUCUCCCUUCCUCAAGGGCCCUGCCUGUAACACUUGCAUCCUUUGGGUCGCAGACUGAAGAAUCUUGGUUCCAGGGUCCCCUGAGAACGUGGGUUCCCAGGCUGGGGGUCCAAUCAGAGCUACAGCUGCUGGCCUCCACCACAGCUCACAGCUACGCCAGAUCCGAGCCUUGUCUGUGACCUAAACCACAGCUCACAGCAAUGCUGGAUCCUUCACCCACCAGAGGCCAGGGAUCGAACUUGCAUCCUCAUGGAUCCUCGUCGGCUUCAUUACCACAAGGGGAACUCUCUCGGGUCUCAUUUUAAAACCCAUUCCUGUUGAUGGAUGAGGUCUACGUAUAUCCUCAGGUGUCUUGAGGGACUUGUGAUCCCCCCGCUUCCCCCCCCCACCACACACACACACAGCCCUUCCACACGGAUGGCCGGUUGGGGCUGGAGAAACACAGUUCCCUCCAUCUCUUCAGCACCCCCCACCAGGGGGUGAGAAGCAGCCCUGAGUGUGCAAGGACCUCCCCACCCCUCCGUGUUCGUCUCUCUCCCUUCAUCCUCUCCAUCCCCUGCGUCCAGGACACCUCCGAGCCCUCUCCCUGCACUGUCCCCGCUGAUGAGCAGCAAAACCCCUGGCUGACCACGCUGCCUCCACACCAGCCCUGGACGACUUUCUCCUUUUUAAAAAUCUUCCGCCAUGUUCACUUGACCCAAGGAACCCUUGUGUGACCACGUCGAAGUUUCAUCGGCAUCCCAAGGACAAGCCCCGCGCUCCAGCCUCCGACUCGCUGUGCGGGGGUCUCGGGUGUGCCUCGCAGUGACAGCGCUUCUCCGUCUGAAAGUUACCUUGAUCACAUACCCUUGACACAUUUCAGGAUUUCUUAUGAUCGACGGUGGCGAGAGAGGUUGCCAGCAGCCAAGCGUCCCAAACACACCUUGAAAUGUUUCCAUAACUAGUCGAGUCUGUUUUCCGAAUUGAUUUUACGCCGUUAAGAUGGAAUCAACUGCAAACAUCCCACCCUGUCCGUUGCUGAGCUACAUCUCACGGCAGGGGCAGGUCUUGUCGUGGUGGGGGUGGGUCCUGUGGCGGGGACGGGUCUUGUCACAGUGGGGAUGGGUCUUUUCAUGGCGGGGACGGAUCUUGUUGUUGUGGGGACGGGUCUUUUCAUGGCGGGGAUGGGUCCUGUCAUGGUGGGGACGGGUCUUCUUGUUGUGGGCAUGGGUCCUGUCACAGUGGGGACGGGUCUUUUCAUGUCGGGGAUGGGUCUUGUUGCGGGGAUGGGUCUGGUCACAGCAGGGAUGUGCCAGGGGUUGCAGAUAAAGGGCACUGGUCAGCUUGUAGAUGUUGUGCGUAUGGAGCUGCUGUAUAUAUACCCUUGCAUUCACAUUUUUCUCAGUGUAAGUCCUUUUUUGUAGAUUGAACAGCUCAGAGUGGGAAAUUUGGGUCAAACGGUAAAAGUGUGUUUAAUUAUAAAAGAGAGGGACCAGAGUUCCCUGGUGGCUCAGCGGGUUAAGGAUCCAGCGUUGUCACUGCAGUGGGUUCGAUCUCUGGCCCUGGAACCUCCACAUGCUGCAGGCACGGCCAAAAGAAAUUUUUUAAUAAAAAAUUUUAAAAAGAGACAGACUGUCUUCCUGGUGGAUGCGCCAUUCCACACCCCUCAGCAGCGGUGGGAGUUGCAGCUGCCCCACAACCCUUGGGAGGGUCAGUGGUGCUCCCGAGGCUCCCAGAGGCCAUGUGAUGUCUGACUGCACCCAGCUUCAGUCCUCCCGGGGCUGGUGAUGCAAACCCUUUCAAGUGCCUCCCCAGACCCUUCCUGGUGAACCGUCUGUGCAAGUCUCCUUUUUCAUUUUCUGAUUUUGAUUUCAGGCUGCACCCAUGGCAUGUGAAAAUUCCCAGGCCAGGGAUCAAACCCUCAUCACAGCAGUGACCUGAGCCUCUGCUGUGACAACAUCAGACCCUUAACUCUCUGUGCCACCAGGGAACUCCUGCAAGUCUCUUUUUUUUUUAGAGUAAAAGUGUAUAUAUGUAAGGAGUUCCCAUCGUGGCGCAGUGGUUAACGAAUCUGACGAGGAACCAUGAGGUUUCGAGUUCGAUCCCUGGCCUUGCUCAGUGGGUUCAGGAUCUGGCGUUGGCAUGAGCUGUGGUGUAGGUCGCAGACGCGGCUUGGUUCCCGUGUUGCUGUGGCUGUGGUGUAGGCCGGUAGCUACAGCUCCGAUCAGACCCCUAGCCUGGGAACCUCCAUGUGCCGCGGGUGUGGCCCUAGAAAAGGCAAAAAGACCACAAAAAAGUGCACAUAUGUAAGGUGUACAGCAUGAGUUGUUAUACACACACAUAGUGAAAUGAUUACCACACUAAUUCACAAACACAGUUGCCCUUGAGAGCCCCUGAAAUCUCCCCUCUGAGGAAAUGUCCAGUAUUCCCCACGCUGUUAUUAACCGCAGUCACCGGGCUGCACGCAAGCUCUCCGGACUCACGCACCCCACAGACCUUCAGCCAUCCUCCCCACCACAACCGCAGUUCUACCCCCGGCUUCUAUGCAUUUGCCGUUUUCAACUUCCACGGGUGUGAAAUCUUUUUUUCUUUUUCUUUCUGUGCCUGGCUUAUGUAAUGCACCCUGCUGUCCUCCAAGCUCACCUGUGUUUGUUUCAAAUGGAAGGACCCCUUUCCUGUUUAAGGCUGCGUCAUAUUCCAUCGUACCUGGACCCCACCAUUUCUUUAUCAGUUCGUCUGUCUGUGGACACGUAGGCUGUUCGGAUCUUUUGCCUGCUUGCUGACUGGCUCAUUUGUCUUUAUGCAGAGAUGUCUUCGUUCCUCUCCCCUCACUGAUUUUAUGAGUAAGCACAUGGAAGCACAGAGAGGUUAAGUGACUUGCCUGAAUAUGCACAGCUGAUAACCAGCAGAGCCAGAAAACAGGAAUCCACGCCACCUCCUUGGUGGGAAGAACAGCAGAGAGGAGAGAGGCCCUUACUCCUUGUGAGUGUGUGUGUGUGUGUGUGUGUGUGUGUGUGUGCACUCAGUUCUGACUUUUACAAACAUGCGGCCAUUCCAUGUUCUGAGACACGCUCCAGACAGGCUCCACAGGGCCUGGCCGGUACCCACCUCGGGGCCUUUGCACCUGCUAUGCCCUCAGCCAGGAAAGGGGAAGGACUUUCUCUUUCCCGUCAUCCCCUUCUCAUGUCAAGUCUCAGCCCCCACAUCACAGCCUCCGAGGGCCAUGUCCAAACUUACCCUCUGGGGUUGGCUCAUUAAGCUGCUGACCGCCCCUCUUUCCAAGGCGGGUUUAAACUCUACGUGCUCAGGCAGCUUGUUCAGGAUGGGUCAUACUUCAUCCACCACUGGCUCCCGGGAGGGAGGGACCUGGGUGGGCCUGGCCUCACCAGGUGAACCUUCCAAAGCUGAGCCUUGGCUCAGACUGGUCAGCUGCUCCCAGAGAAACACAGAGACAGGGUCCCGCCGGCCUGGACGAGGAAGAAGCAGCUGCGGUUGUGUGCAUCCCUGGAGAAGGACGCAGCCCCCCUCGGACAGGCAGAGAGACGACUCGCCCCCGAGCCCAGCAACCGCAGGGGUAGGUCUGCCUGCAGCCAGGCGGGGGCGUGUGCGCGCGCAUGCGCGUGUGUGCCCUCGGGUAAGGCCCCGGCCUGGAGAACACGGUGACCGACUCAGCGACCCACGCCCGGGACCCUGAGCCGGGAAGCCGGCAUACGGUACCCUUUGUGCCGCCUUAAGCGGCUGAGUCGAUGGUGACUUGUGACACAGCAGCAGAAAACCAGCCCGCCUUCCACGGGCCAUUCCACGGACACUGCCUGACCUGCUCAUGGCUGCCCCCGAAGCCCCCACGCAGGGCGGAGGCAGGGGUCCAGGAGGUCUGCUCGGCCCCCCUCGCACCCCCAGACCCUCGUGAUGGGGGCUUCCGUUCUCGAGUUAGAGGGAACGCUUUGGGGCCAUCGGUGAGUUAUGGGACCAGCCGGGUGUCACAGACCUGGUCCCCAGCCUGGCUUUGCUCCUUCUGGCUGGUGUCAGAAGCUCUGUGACCCCAAGCGGUUCCUUCAUAAAGUGGGGCCCGUUCAGUGCCUUCCCCGUGGGCUCGUGGAAUUGAAUAACUGGAUCUGUUUCUAAAGCACUUGGCACAGGGUCUGGAAACGCCGCCAACCUGUUACCUGAAGUCACUGCAUCCAGACCUGCCCUCCCACAUGUAUAACAUCUGUGCCAGGGCACACGCAGGCGCUGUUAAAUGUCUCUCUCACAUACACACACACACAGAGUCCCAAACAGACACCCUCCCCCUUCCAAAGCCCAGAUCAUCAGCAUUUGUUCAGUAGGCACGUCAUUGACACUGAGCAGCCUCAAGACGCUGUGCAGGACGCAUAGGGCAGCAAACUACAUCCUUGCAAAAUACAGUUGCGAAAUGACCGAUUCUCAAACGGUAGAGGGAACACUGCUUAGACACAGAAGGCAGCGGUACAUUUGCCAGACAGAUGGGGAGCGUCGGCGGGUCCCUCCCUGCUCUGGAAAGCUUGCUCGCCCGCGCGCGCGCGCUGUGCGUGCCAGGCUGCGUUCAAGAGCACCGUUCCCAUCCCCUGGUUGGAAUCUAGCCUGGCCUUCAGCUCGGUGGAAAGGCCGUGGGAUUCUGGAGAGCGGAGGGUCUGUCCUGGCCGCUUGGCCUCGGGUGACAAUUCUUUUUGUUCGAAUCUAAGCAUGGUUGCUCGACAGCCUUGUGCCGGUUUCUGCCGCACAGCAUAGUGACCCACUUGCACACAUGCACACACUCAUUUUCUCACACUGUCUUCCAUCGCAGUCCCUCCCAAGAGACUGGACACGGUUCCCCGUGCUGUACAGCAGGACGUCAUCGCCUAUGCAUUUCCUGUGAAGAUUCUAACGGCUUCUCGCCAUCUGUCCAUAUUCACUGGGGCCCGUCCUGGGUUGAAGGGAGUGAGGCUCUCGGCUUGGGUACAAAUUUUAAGUGUGGGGGUGAGGAGAGUGCAGACAUCUCAGUGAUCAAGAGAGAUAAUUUUUUUUUUUGGUCUUUUUAGGGCCACACCUGCAGCAUAGGGAGGUUCCCAGUCUAGGGGAAUCCAGCUUGGAAUCAGAGCUGUAGCCACCAGCCUACCCCAGAGCCACAGCAAUGCCAGAUCCGAACUGCGUCUGCGACCUACACCACAGCUCACAGCAACACCGGAUCCUUAACCCACUGAGCGAGGCCAGGAAUGGAACUCGCAACCUCAUGGUUCCUGGAUGGAUUCUUUUCCAAUGUACCACGAUGGGAACGCCAAGAGAUAAUAUUUUAAUGCAGCGUUUCCUUAAAAUUUCCCAGUUAAAAUGGUGGGAAAAAUCAACGAGGAAGAAAUGCCCACAUGUUAACGGAAGACGGGCUCUCGCAGGGCUGCGAGUAGGGCAAGGUGAGGCGACGAGUCCUGCAAAGCUCAGGGUGGAAAUGUUGAUGUUGCGCUCCUCACGGACUGGAGGCAUUAUCCUUUCUUUUUUAAGCAAACGGCACUGGCACCGGGGCCUUCUCGUGGCUCAGGAGCCUGAGAAUCAGGCAUGAUCCCUGCAGCAGUUCCCUUCGCUGCUGCAGUGUGGCUGCGCGCCCUGGCCGGGGACUUUCGCGUGCCUCUGCUGCGCAGUAUUGCCCUGAGUCCUGAGGACUCGGCUUCCCUUACGUGGUGCGCCCAGGUGAACACCUCGGGGGCCCGCCAGCCCCUCCCCCCGCAGCAUCUCUGAUCCUUUCUCUCUGUCCCCACCGUGAACACCCUCGUUCUUUCCACCACCGCGUCUGGCUGGAGCCGGCACAGCAAACUCCCCGCCACCCGCUGCAUCCUGGUCUGGACACGACCUCCAAGCUGCUGGCACUGAAACUCGGGGUGACUUCCUCCGCAAACCCUCCCCCCAAAGCCCACUCCCAUCAUCCUCUCCCACCGUCUAGAUGUCUCCCCCCUGCCUCCCCCACCCCCAUCCCCACCAUCGCCCAGUUUGGGUUAUAGCAACUGAUGCUGCUAUUUUCUCACCUCUUUUCAGUUCUCUGCGCCAUUUCCCAGGGUGGGGGACCGGUCACACAAGUGUGAUGUCAUUUCAGAUGGUCCGGCUCCAAGGACAAUUAAACUUUACCAUACAAUGUUAUACCCUUGGGAGUUCCCGUGGUGGCUCAGUGGAUUAAGAACCCGACACAGUGUCUGCGAGGAUGCGGGUUCAAUCCCUGGCCUCGCUCAGUAGGUUAAGGACCUGGCACUGCCACAAGCUGUGACUUAGAUAACAGAUGCGGCUAGGAUCCCGCGUUCCUGUGGCUGUGGUGUAGGUGGGCAGCUGCAGCUCCCACUCGACCCCUCGCCUGGGAACCUCCAUGUGCUGCAGGUGCCACUGUAAAAGGAAAAAAAAAAAAAA
rnacentral:lncRNA from 1 species